AUUGAACGCUGGCGGCAGGCUUAACACAUGCAAGUCGAGCGAGCGGCGGACGGGUGAGUAAUGUCGGGGAAACUGCCUGAAGGAGGGGGAUAACUACUGGAAACGGUAGCUAAUACCGCAUACCAUCAGAUGUGCCCAGAUGGGAUUAGCUAGUAGGUGGGGUAAGGGCUCACCUAGGCGACGAUCCCAAGCGUGUCUGCGCGGAUGACCAGCCACACUGGAACUGGGACCCGGUCCAGACGCCUCCGGGGGGCAGCAGUGGGGAAUAUUGCACAAGGGGCGAAAGCCUGAUGCAGCCAUGCCGCGGGUGUGAAGAAGUCCUUCGGGUGUAAAAGCACUUUCAGCGAGUAGGCGGUACUCGCAGAAGAAGCACCGGCUAACUCCGUGCCAGCAGCCGCGGUAAUAC
rnacentral:rRNA from 1 species